AGAGGAAGAGGCAGUGCCUCAUUUACUCUGUGGCCGGAAGAACAGAAGGGAGAAAGGGAGGGAGAGUUUUAAGUUAUUUUUAACGAAAAUUGCGAUCUACGAAGAUCCAACGGUCAGAUCUUCAAUCCGUUUUCGAUAACGUGAUCCUUGCACUCGGAUCUACGUUCGUACCGAUUGUUUUAAGGUGUUUGAGCUUAUUGGAGCUUAUUUGAGGCUAGCCAAACUUUGGGUGGGAGUUUGGUGAAUUUGGCGGCACCUUGGGGGAGUGAGCUUAGGACUUGUUUGUGUCGGUGUGCAAACAGCCAAGAUGUAGUUCCUGUGACUGCAGGUACACCUGACUUUGAGGAAGACCCUGUAGCUGCGUAUUUGGGGUACUACGAUUGAAGCACUCCGCGACAGUCGUACUGAGUUGGACUAUGGAGUUCACUCUUUUGGGGUAUUUUGUAUAUGGCUAGUGACGUAGGUGUCACAUAUUCUUUUGUGUAGCCAUUCUUUUGUAUCAAUGGGUAAAUGUAAACCUUAAACUGUUAGACAGAUAUAGCUCUUUUGUAUGGACCACUAGUUAAUUUUAGAUGUGCUUUCCGUUA